CAGUGACAUGCUUCCUCCAACAAAGCCACACCCACUUCAACAAAGCCACACCUCCCAAUAGUGCCAGUCCCUAUGGGCUAAUGAGGGCCUAUUACAUUCAAAUUACACCAGAUCGGAA